CUUGAAUGGUGGCAAAGACAAGUAUUUUGUACUUGGCUGCCAUGCUGCUAUAUGGUCCACUCCAGCUGCCGCAUGGUAGUGUAUUUUCAAGAACUGAUAACAACUGUAACAAGACCAAUUUUUACAGGUAUGCAACACUGGACUUAAAUGCUCCUAAAGCC